rnacentral:rRNA from 1 species
GACGAACGCUGGCGGCGUGCUUAACACAUGCAAGUCGAACGGAAAGGCCCUGCUUUUGUGGGGUGCUCGAGUGGCGAACGGGUGAGUAACACGUGAGUAACCUGCCCUUGACUUUGGGAUAACUUCAGGAAACUGGGGCUAAUACCGGAUAGGAGCUCCUGCUGCAUGGUGGGGGUUGGAAAGUUUCGGCGGUUGGGGAUGGACUCGCGGCUUAUCAGCUUGUUGGUGGGGUAGUGGCUUACCAAGGCUUUGACGGGUAGCCGGCCUGAGAGGGUGACCGGCCAAAUUGGGACUGGGAUACGGGCCAGACUUCUACGGGAGGCAGAAGGGGGGAAUAUUGCACAAUGGGCGGAAGCCUGAUGCAGCAACGCCGCGUGCGGGAUGACGGCCUUCGGGUUGUAAACCGCUUUCGCCUGUGACGAAGCGGGAGUGACGGGAAUGGGUAAAGAAGCACCGGCUAACUACGUG